rnacentral:rRNA from 1 species
GGAAAAGCAGGGGAUCGAAAGACCUUGCGCUUUUGGAGCGGCCGAUGUCUGAUUAGCUAGUUGGUGGGGUAAUGGCCUACCAAGGCAACGAUCAGUAGUUGGUCUGAGAGGAUGGCCAACCACACUGGGACUGAGACACGGCCCAGACUCCUACGGGAGGCAGCAGUGGGGAAUUUUGGACAAUGGGGGAGGCCCUGAUCCAGCAAUGCCGCGUGAGUGAAGAAGGCCUUCGGGUGGUAAAGCUCUUUCAGUUGAGAAGAAAAGGUUGUGACUAAUAAUCAUAAUUUAUGACGGUAUCAACAGAAGAAGCACCGGCUAACUACGUGCCAGCAGCCGCAGUAAUACGUAGGGUGCAAGCGUUAAUCGGAAUUACUGGGCGUAAAGGGUGCGCAGGCGGUUAUGUAAGUCAGUUGUGGGUCCCCGGGCCUAACCUGGGAAUGGCGUUUGAAAC